AGGGGAAAAGAAAAGGCUCCUUGAUCAUACCAGUGAUUCGGGAGCGCCUGGUGUAUUCUCCAACGCAGGCUUCAGCUCUGCUUUUUAAGGACUCAUCUGGAAGAAAAGUGCUGAUGCAAUGGGACUUUCCUGCAACCUCAUUAAUCUGUGUCACCACUGUCUGUGAGAGCUUCUGCUGCCUGGUUGCUGGGAGAUGGAAUAAAUUCAUGCUUCAGAAUACCUUGGGCUGGCAGGGAAGUGUUCUUGUGCUCAGGUCCUGCUUGCAGGCUUUCUGCAGGCAUCUGUUCUGCCACUGUGAGAACAGGACGCUGGACUAGUUCAGCAAGCCCUGCUUACGUUCGUAUGCUUGAAGCAUCUAGCUCUCCCCGAUAUCCUGCUCUGUGCUUCCAGUCAUCAUCCACAUUGUAGAGUUUAAUGGCUUUCAAAUUGUCUCAUCAUUUGCCUUCAUCACCUGUCUAUCUUAGAUGACCUGCAUUCUCCUUUUGCUGUCAGACGCCUGCCAACUCUCAACCUUUAUCAUUAAAAGGUCUUGCAGAGAUGCUGUGGCUGAAAAACUUUGUCAAAAGCUGCUGUAAAAUAUUUCUGGACAUACUGAUUUUUCUUUCUUUACCCAGACUUGGAUUCAGGUCCUGUUGUAAGGCUGCCUUUUUUUAAAAAAUACCCAAACAUUAAAACAAACUUGGGGAUCACUGUCAAGAUAUGACUAGAUCAUUUAAUAUGCACAUACCAUGCUAGAAAAACCUACCUGUGCCUUGCUGUCCAGACUAGGAAAACAUUGUUAAUUUGUGGGCACAAACUAUACAAUGGAGAAUGCCAGCUGCCACUCAGGACAGGAACGUCUUUUUUAAAAGCAAAUGAAAGAGAACGUGCUCCAAAGCUGAAUUCUGCAGUCAGCACCACAUUCUGCACUUGUACAUUUUAAAUUGACUGCCUAUGAGGCUGCAGUCAAAUAUUUCUAGUGUGCCAUUGAAUAAAUGGCUAUACACAAACGUAACUGGCUAUAAUGAAAAUUCAUAAACUUAUAAAUUUAUGAUCCACUCCUUUGCCACUUGUGCCACCUCACGCGUAGUAUAUGUCAUCCGAUGUCCAUGUGGGCUUUUUUAUAUUGGUCACACACUCAGACCAGUUAAAGUCAGGAUAUCUGAGCACAGGUCAAGAAUCAGAAACAGUGUUUGGGAUGCCCCACUUGUUAACCAUUUCAUAGAGGCAUCACAUACAGAUCAAGACUUAGUCUUUUUUGUGAUAUGGGUUUAUACAGGACCUGGUGAAUUGGCCCAACAGAGACUAAUGCAACAAGAAACCAAGUUCAUUUUCCUGUUUAACUCUCUACAUCCCAAUGGUCUAAAUUCUGACAUUGACUAUAGUUCCUUUUUGGAAUUUCUCUCUUUUGUUUAUGCAAUGCUGUAUUAGUCUGUUUUAUACACUCAUUGUGUUGGCUCAUUAAGCCUUUUUCCAUGGAUUGUCUCUUUAAGAAUUUAUUAUUGUCUCCUUUGAUUGACCACACCUGCUGAUCCACAGUUAGAUCUUUAUAUUCAGUUUGUGAUCCUUCGAGCCACAGAAACAUCAUUUGGCAUUUCACUUGAAAGCUUUGGAUUUAUGUUAAUCUACCUUUGCAAGCUACCAGUACUGAGGAAGCCUGACCAGGGCGAAACAAGGGACGUACCCGGGAACCUUGUCUUUUCUAUGGACAGUGCUUUUUUGCUGCACCUGGCACCAUUGAAUAUACUGCUGCCACCUCAUGGACUUUGGCUUGCCACGCCCAUUUGCCAAUUGGACCCAUUAGUGCAUGCUCUACACCUGCUGCACACCUUCUUUUGUGGUACUCUUUGACUAUCUCAUUCAUUUUGGACUGAGUCCUUAUCAACACUUUAAGUUUGGGGAUGUGCCUCUGCUUUUGAUAUAUGUUGUUCUUAUUUACAUAACAACAAAAAUUUUUGAACCUUCUUGUACAA